GACGAACGCUGGCGGCGUGCUUAACACAUGCAAGUCGAACGGGAGUAUCGAAGAAGCUUGCUUUAGAGAUACUUUAGUGGCGGACGGGUGAGUAACGCGUGAGGAGCUGUCCUAUGCAGGGGGACAACAGUUGGAAACGACUGCUAAUACCCCAUAAGCCGAGAGGUAAAAGGAUUUAUCCGGCAGAGGAGGUACUCGCGUCCUAUCAGCUAGUAGGUGAGGUAACGGCUCACCUAGGCGAAGACGGGUAGCCGGCCUGAGAGGGCGAACGGCCACACUGGAACUGGGAUACGGUCCAGACUCCUACGGGAGGCAGCAGUGGGGAAUAUUGGGCAAUGGGGGGAACCCUGACCCAGCGACGCCGCGUGGGUGAAGAAAUCCUUCGGGAUGUAAAGCCCUGUUGUAUGGGAAGAGCGGAAGACGGUACCUUACGAGGAAGCCCCGGCAAACUACGUGCCAGCCGCCACAGUAA
rnacentral:rRNA from 1 species